rnacentral:rRNA from 1 species
AGAGUUUGAUCCUGGCUCAGGAUGAACGCUGGCGGCGUGCUUAACACAUGCAAGUCGAGCGAAGCGGUUUCGAUGAAGUUUUCGGAUGGAUUUGAAAUUGACUUAGCGGCGGACGGGUGAGUAACGCGUGGGUAACCUGCCUUGCACUGGGGGAUAACAGUUAGAAAUGACUGCUAAUACCGCAUAAGCGCACAGGGCCGCAUGGUCUGGUGUGAAAAACUCCGGUGGUGUAAGAUGGACCCGCGUCUGAUUAGGUAGUUGGUGGGGUAACGGCCCACCAAGCCGACGAUCAGUAGCCGACCUGAGAGGGUGACCGGCCACAUUGGGACUGAGACACGGCCCAAACUCCUACGGGAGGCAGCAGUGGGGAAUAUUGGACAAUGGGCGAAAGCCUGAUCCAGCGACGCCGCGUGAGUGAAGAAGUAUUUCGGUAUGUAAAGCUCUAUCAGCAGGGAAGAAAAUGACGGUACCUGACUAAGAAGCCCCGGCUAACUACGUGCCAGCAGCCGCGGU